rnacentral:rRNA from 1 species
AACGUAGGUUCCGAGCGUUAUCCGGAUUUACUGGGCGUAAAGCGCGUUCAGGCGGUUUGGCAAGUCGGGCAUGAAAUCCUUCGGCUCAACCGGGGGAGGUUGUCCGAUACUGCUGAACUGGAGGGCAGUAGAGGGUGGUGGAAUUCCGGGUAUAGUGGUGAAAUGCGUAGAGAUCCGGAGGAACACCAGUGGCGAAAGCGGCCACCUGGACUGCACCUGACGCUGAAACGCGAAAGCUAGGGGAGCGAACGGG